UACAGAGGGGGCAAGCGUUAUUCGGAAUUAUUGGGCGUAAAGGGCGCGUAGGCGGUUCUUCAAGUCUCUCGUGAAAUCCCUCGGCUUAACUGAGGACGUGCGGGAGAUACUGAAGGGCUUGAGUCCGGAAGAGGGUGGUGGAAUUCCCAGUGUAGCGGUGAAAUGCGCAGAUAUCGGGAGGAACACCAAUGGCGAAGGCAGCUCGCUGGGACGGUACUGACGCUGAGGCACGAAAGCGUGGGGAUCAAACAGG
rnacentral:rRNA from 1 species